GCUUGUCUCAAAGAUUAAGCCAUGCACGUCUAAGUAUAAGCGAUUAUACUGUGAAACUGCGAAUGGCUCAUUAUAUCAGUUAUAGUUUAUUUGAUGGUCCUUGCUACUUGGAUAACCGUAGUAAUUCUAGAGCUAAUACAUGCAUAAAUCCCCGACUGCUUGGAAGGGGUGUAUUUAUUAGAUGGAAACCAAUUCGGGGUAACCCGGUGUUUGGUGAUUCAUAAUAACUUUCGGAUCGCAUUUGCGAUGCAUCAUUCAAGUUUCUGCCCUAUCAGCUUUGGAUGGUAGGGUAUUGGCCUACCAUGGCAUUAACGGGUAACGGAGGAUUUGGGUUCGAUUCCGGAGAGGGAGCCUGAGAAAUGGCUACCACAUCCAAGGAAGGCAGCAGG
rnacentral:rRNA from 1 species